rnacentral:tRNA from 1 species
GCUAGGGUGGCAGAGCUUGGUUACUGCAAAAGGUCUAAGCCCUUUCAAACAGAGGUUCAAAUCCUCUCCCUAACU